AAUUAAAUCUUGGGCCAAAUGGAGGAAUUCUUACUUCACUGAACUUGUUUGCCACAAAGUUUGAUGAGAUGAGAGACUUAGGUGAUGCAAGGAUCAUCACUAGAAUAACUGGUACUGUUAGCUGAGAAA